ACUGGGUGUGCCCGAAAGGGAACGGGAACACAGGUGCUGCAUGGCUGUCGUCAGCUCGUGUCGUGAGAUGUUGGGUUAAGUCCCGCAACGAGCGCAACCCUUGUCAUUAGUUGCUACAUUCAGUUGGGCACUCUAAUGAGACUGCCGGUGACAAACCGGAGGAAGGUGGGGAUGACGUCAAGUCCUCAUGGCCCUUAUGGGUAGGGCUUCACACGUAAUACAAUGGCGCGUACAGAGGGUUGCCAAGCCGCGAGGUGGAGCCAAUCCCACAAAGCGCGUCGUAGUCCGGAUUGCAGUCUGCAACUCGACUGCAUGAAGUCGGAAUCGCUAGUAAUCGCGGAUCAGCAUGUCGCGGUGAAUACGUUCCCGGGUCUUGUACACACCGCCCGUCACACCAUGGGAGUGGGUUUCACCAGAAGCCGGUCGCCUAACCGCAAGGAGGGCGCCGACCACGGUGAGAUUCAUGACUGGGGUGAAGUCGUAACAAGGUAGCCGUAA
rnacentral:rRNA from 1 species